GUGAUAGUAAGUUCUCAUGGUAUCUGGUUGUUUAAAAGUGUAUAGCACUUGCCCCUUCUCUCUAUCUUGCCACUGUGUGAAAAUGCACACCCGAGUCUCAG